rnacentral:rRNA from 1 species
AUUGAACGCUGGCGGCAUGCCUUACACAUGCAAGUCGAACGGCAGCGGACCUUCGGGUGCCGGCGAGUGGCGAACGGGUGAGUAAUAUAUCGGAACGUACCUUUCAGUGGGGGAUAACGUAGCGAAAGUUACGCUAAUACCGCAUAUUCUGUGAGCAGGAAAGCAGGGGAUCGCAAGACCUUGCGCUGAUUGAGCGGCCGAUAUCAGAUUAGCUAGUUGGUGAGGUAAAGGCUCACCAAGGCGACGAUCUGUAGCGGGUCUGAGAGGAUGAUCCGCCACACUGGAACUGAGACACGGUCCAGACUCCUACGGGAGGCAGCAGUGGGGAAUUUUGGACAAUGGGCGCAAGCCUGAUCCACGCCAUGCCGCGUGAGUGAAG